ensembl:rRNA 5S_rRNA 5S ribosomal RNA
UUUUUUUAUCAUCCAUCCUGAUUGUGCCCAAGGUCAUUUGAUCUCUGAUGCUAAGCAGGGUUGGGCCUGAUUAGUACCUGGGUGGGAGGGAGACCACCCUGCUCAGGGAAAGGG